rnacentral:rRNA from 1 species
GACGAACGCUGGCGGCGUGCCUAAUACAUGCAAGUCGAACGCUUUUUCUUUCACCGGAGCUUGCUCCACCGAAAGAAAAAGAGUGGCGAACGGGUGAGUAACACGUGGGUAACCUGCCCAUCAGAAGGGGAUAACACUUGGAAACAGGUGCUAAUACCGUAUAACACUAUUUUCCGCAUGGAAGAAAGUUGAAAGGCGCUUUUGCGUCACUGAUGGAUGGACCCGCGGUGCAUUAGCUAGUUGGUUAGGUAACGGCUCACCAAGGCAACGAUGCAUAGCCGACCUGGGAGGGAGAUCGGCCACGCUGGGGCUGAGACACGGCCCAGACUCCUACGGGAGGCAGCAGUAGGGAAUCUUCGGCAAUGGACGAAAGUCUGACCGAGCAACGCCGCGUGAGUGAAGAAGGUUUUCGGAUCGUAAAACUCUGUUGUUAGAGAAGAACAAGGAUGAGAGUAGAACGUUCAUCCCUUGACGGUAUCUAACCAGAAAGCCACGGCUAACUACGUGCCAGCCGCCGCCGUAA